UACGAGUGCCCCAAGCGUUAUCCGGAAUCAUUGGGCGUAAAGGGUGUGUAGGUGGUUGUAUUAGUCUUUUGUUAAAUUCUUCGGCUUAACCGGGGGCUUGCGAAAGAAACGGUACAACUAGAGGAUGAAAGAGGUCUGUGGAACUCAUAGUGUAGCGGUAAAAUGCGUUGAUAUUAUGGGGAACACCAAAAGCGAAGGCAGCAGACUGGAGCACUCCUGACACUGAAACACGAAAGCGUGGGUAGCGAAUGGG
rnacentral:rRNA from 1 species